rnacentral:lncRNA from 1 species
GGACAAGGGGAAAUGGUUUCAAACUGAAAGAGAGUAGCUACAGGUUGGAUAGAAGGAAAAAGUCUCCUACAGUGAAGGUGGUGAGUCACUGGAACAGGUUGCCCAGAGAUGUGAUGAAAGUCCUGACCCUGGAAACAUUCAAGACCAGGCUGGACAGGGCACUGAGCAACCUGAUCUAGCUGUGGGUGUCCCUGUUCAUUGCGGUUAGCUUUGUGGGGAAGUCAUGUUUCUUGGGAGAAGUUGCACUGAAAUGGAAAGUGAAAUCUGUAAGAACAUAUAAACUUUGUGUUAGGUGACUGGGG